GAUGAACGCUGGCGGCGUGCCUAAUACAUGCAAGUCGAGCGAAUGGAUUAAGAGCUUGCUCUUAUGAAGUUAGCGGCGGACGGGUGAGUAACACGUGGGUAACCUGCCCAUAAGACUGGGAUAACUCCGGGAAACCGGGGCUAAUACCGGAUAACAUUUUGAACCGCAUGGUUCGAAAUUGAAAGGCGGCUUCGGCUGUCACUUAUGGAUGGACCCGCGUCGCAUUAGCUAGUUGGUGAGGUAACGGCACACCAAGGCAACGAUGCGUAGCCGACAUGAGAGGGUGAUCGGCCACACUGGGACUGAGACACGGCCCAGACUCCUACGGGAGGCAGCAGUAGGGAAUCUUCCGCAAUGGACGAAAGCCUGACGGAGCAACGCCGCGUGAGUGAUGAAGGCUUUCGGGUCGUAAAACUCUGUUGUUAGGGAAGAACGAGUGCUAGUUGAAUAAGCUGGCACCUUGACGGUACCUAACCAGAAAGCCACGGCUAACUACGUGCCAGCCGCCGCGGUAA
rnacentral:rRNA from 1 species